rnacentral:rRNA from 1 species
GAUCAUGGCUCAGGAUGAACGCUAGCUACAGGCUUAACACAUGCAAGGUCGAGGGGCAGCAUGAACUUAGCUUGCUAAGUUUGAUGGCGACCGGCGCACGGGUGAGUAACACGUAUCCAAACCUGCCGAUGACUCGGGGAUAGCCUUUCGAAAGAAAGAUUAAUACCCGAUGGCAUAAUUCUUCCGCAUGGUAGAACUAUUAAAGAAUUUCGGUCAUCGAUGGGGAUGCGUUCCAUUAGGUUGUUGGCGGGGUAACGGCCCACCUAGUCUUCGAUGGAUAGGGGUUCUGAGAGGAAGGUCCCCCACAUUGGAACUGAGACACGGUCCAAACUCCUACGGGAGGCAGCAGUGAGGAAUAUUGGUCAAUGGACGAGAGUCUGAACCAGCCAAGUAGCGUGCAGGAUGACGGCCCUAUGGGUUGUAAACUGCUUUUAUAAGGGAAUAAAGUGGGAGUCGUGACUCUUUUUGCAUGUACCUUAUGAAUAAGGACCGGCUAAUUCCGUG